rnacentral:rRNA from 1 species
UACGUAGGGUGCAAGCGUUGUCCGGAAUUAUUGGGCGUAAAGAGCUGCGUAGGUGGUUUGUCGCGUCUGCCGUGAAAGUCCGGGGCUCAACUCCCGGAUCUGGCGGUGGGUACGGGCAGACUAGAGUGAUGUAGGGGAGACUGGAAUUCCGUGGUGUAGCGGUGAAAUGCGCAGAUAUCAGGAGGAACACCGAUGGCGAAGGCAGGUCUCUGGGCAUUAACUGACGCUGAGGAGCGAAAGCAUGGGGAGCGAACAGG